CGUAGGGUGCGAGCGUUGUCCGGAUUUAUUGGGCGUAAAGAGCUCGUAGGUGGUUUGUUGCGUCGGAAGUGAAAACCCAAGGGCUUAACUUUGGGCUUGCUUUCGUAUACGGGCGAGACUUGAGGAAGGUAGGGGAGAACGGAAUUCCUGGUGGAGCGGUGGAAUGCGCAGAUAUCAGGAGGAACACCAGUGGCGAAGGCGGUUCUCUGGACCUUUCCUGACGCUGAGGAGCGAAAGCGUGGGGAGCAAACAGGCUU
rnacentral:rRNA from 1 species